CAUGAAUUUCAUUCCAGUUCCAGUAUUAACCAGUAUCAGUAGCUACAAUGUGUAUAUGUGAGUAGUACCGUCCAGUGGAAACACAUGAACAGUGUAAACAAAACGGUAGUGAUGCAAUAAACACAGUCACAGUUCCAUUCCGGACGGUUGCAACAGCGUUGUAUUCCAGGUAUAAGAGAUAUUGUAUCAACAUUAUUUACGUUACGGCAAUUAUUUCUUUUCUGUGUUGAACUUUU
rnacentral:lncRNA from 1 species